UCCGGCUUGACGCCGGCAGUCCCCCGAGAGUCCUCGGCAUGACCCGUUAGUAACACGGGGCAAGGGUUGCGCUCGUUGCGGGACUUAACCCAACAUCUCACGACACGAGCUGACGACAGCCAUGCAGCACCUGUGCAGGUGUUCCGAAGAGCACCUCUGAUCUCUCAAAGGCUUCCCAUGCAUGUCAAGCCCAGGUAAGGUUCUUCGCGUUGCGUCGAGUUAAACCACAUGCUCCACCGCUUGUGCGGGCCCCCGUCAAUUUCUUUGAGUUUUAAUCUUGCGACCGUACUCCCCAGGCGGCACGUUUAACGCGUUAGCUCCGGCGCGGAAGGGGUCGAAUCCUCCCACACCAAACGUGCACCGUUUACUGCCAGGACUAC
rnacentral:misc_RNA from 1 species